UCAACUUACGUGUAUCAGGAUCUUUGCACAUGGAAGUCAGAAUUGCGCUUUCCUGCCUGGUUUAAAGCUCUAAAUUACAGAUUUCAGUCGGAAAACUCUUCGUCUUAAAUAUCGAAGACAGUUGGAACAUCUGACGGUAGAAGUUAAAAUGGAUUUUGUGUCUUAAAUGUCGAUCUUUGGUGUAUAACGGUCCUCGCCCACAGUUUGCAACCAGCGACGACAAGUCAACGGUUCAAACCAAGCUAGGACAGAAGUUUAGUCUUCUUUGAACGCAUGUAAUUAAUCAUCUAACAAGAAGGAUAACAAUGGAUCAGAAACAAAAUGAAGUCCAUGGAAACAGAUACAGUCAGUAUAGAUUUGAAAGAUUUCAAGAUCAUAGGAAGCAAGAAGAUUCAAGAAAAUUCAAGAAAAGAUAAUACUUGUGGACGCAAGAAUUCUGUUUACUGAAAUAAAGCUUAUUUUAAGUCACGCUCCUCCUGAUUAGGGAAGAAAUAGCGGAGAGACGAACGGUGUUUGCGAGGAAAUCCUGCGCUUUUAAAAGGCCAACCGCAAUUAAAACAAAAGUUCAUAAAAAUGAUGUCUUUUGGUAGGAAAAUCUUCCCAUCAGCAGAAUUAUAGAGAAGCUAAAAAAAUUUUUGCGUAAAUAUUUUUAAGUCUUUUGGCGGGAAAAUUGCGUAUGGAAAAAAAAGGCUGUGCUUUUGAAUUGUGUCUAGUUUUGAACAGAAAAUAUACUAAGUCUUUUGGCGGGAAAAAAUUUGCUCCAUGCCAACGAUUUUCUCCCAUCAAAAGUCGAGUACAUUUUUUGUUUUAAUGCUAGAUGCUGUUCAAAUCCGCAGAUUUUUUUUCCUCUCGGCAACCCUCCAUACGCAAAAAAAAGUAAAAGAGAUAGCCUAUAUUUUGACUAGUUACCAGGCCCUUUUAAA